AUCAUUAUUACAGGUACAGUUGGUGACUUGUCGGUGACUUGUUGGUGACUUGUGAUCCUGUUGGUGACUUGGUUCCGUAGAUUGGGUCUCAGAUGAAUUUGGGUUUCAGAUGAUUUGUGGUUCCAAGUUCAAGCCGAAUCUGUGAUCUUGUGCUCCGAGAUACACAGCCAGCCAGUCUUGUCUGCAUCAUUUGCAUCAUAACAUGUUUAUUUUCAAAAGAAUAAUGCAAUAAAAAAAAUGAAAAAAAUGAAAAAAG
rnacentral:lncRNA from 1 species